rnacentral:piRNA from 1 species
UGGAUGUUGGAAAGCUUAUGUUGUCUCGUA